UGUAUAGCUAUCAAUGAUGGAAAACUUUGGCGACUGACUACAGUGAUGUCAAACCAUCCUAUUUCGUCACUACCUCUGAGAUAGCUAUUAA